rnacentral:rRNA from 1 species
AGUGAACGCUGGCGGUAGGCCUAACACAUGCAAGUCGAACGGCAGCACAGGAGAGCUUGCUCUCUGGGUGGCGAGUGGCGGACGGGUGAGGAAUACAUCGGAAUCUACUCUGUCGUGGGGGAUAACGUAGGGAAACUUACGCUAGUACCGCAUACGACCUACGGGUGAAAGCAGGGGAUCUUCGGACCUUGCGCGAUUGAAUGGGCCGAUGUCGGAUUAGCUAGUUGGCGGGGUAAAGGCCCACCAAGGCGACGAUCCGUAGCUGGUCUGAGAGGAUGAUAAGCCACACUGGAACUGAGACACGGUCCAGACUCCUACGGGAGGCAGCAGUGGGGAAUAUUGGACAAUGGGCGCAAGCCUGAUCCAGCCAUACCGCGUGGGUGAAGAAGGCCUUCGGGUUGUAAAGCCCUUUUGUUGGGAAAGAAAUCCAGCUGGCUAAUACCCGGUUGGGAUGACGGUACCCAAAGAAUAAGCACCGGCUAACUUCGUGGCAGCCGCCGCGGUAA